UUCUCCUCAAAAGCUCUCUCUCCCUGUCCGGUGCCACGGAUGUCUGCACGUAUUUUUCCUGGAGCUGUUCUGCCCUGCUGCAUAGCCUGUAACAACACAAGUCCUGGGGACUUGAAAUUGGCAGUGCAGGGUGUAGUUGGGCUCUAGAUUGUAUGGGGAGAUUGGCUUAAUAUGUUUAGUUGUGUUAAGUUGUCCUGCAGCCAUUUGAAACUAGUCCUAAAUUUCUUUCAGAUGCUGACAGUUUAAAUCUGUGGCCAAGGGCCCCAGUCCUGGGUGAGGGUUUUCCCAUGAUCAGGUCAGUCAUUUUUUGCAUUUGCAGGGGAUGCUUGAAUGGUGUCUUUGUCACAGCAGUGUUCUUUGCCUUUAUUUUCAGGAGGUCCAGGCAGAUAGCAGCAGUCAAGGCCAAGUGUGCCAGGUGAGCAGUGGGCCAAAGCAGUUGUUUGUGCUCAGGUUUCAGGUUUUGGCGCAAUUGUAUGUAUCUGUUCUAGUUUGUGUGCUUAGGGAAUCCACCCAGAGUAUGCCAAGCCCCUGUCACCAACAGCUGAUGGCCUGGAUUUCCUGUGCUUGUGGGCCCUCUGGAUGUAUUUCAGGACUCUGAGAUGAAGCCUUGAAAUUUUGUAUUUCACGAUGGCAUCCAGGGAGCCAUUGGCAAUGGCUGAGGAGUUGCGGCAGACUCUGCGAUGAUGGUGGCAGUCUCCGAGCCUGGCAAAAGUGAGCGGCCCGAGCAUUCUUAGGAGAACGGUGAGUAGCAGGAUUGCUGUGUUUUGUCCAUUGUGCAGCUAAGAUCAUGCAGUGAUGUUUGGUGUUCUCGAUUGUAGCUGAGCACGGGACCACAGCCCGGUGACCAUAGGACAUUCCCCGCAGGCGAGGCAGCCUUCAUUGGCACGCGACGUGUAUUCACAUCCCCAGAUGCCUGAGAGAUAAGUUGAGGGCUCAGGCCCACAUUGGGGGUGAAAGUGGGGUGCUGGGAGGGCCUUAUGAAUGAGCUUUGGGGGCAGGGAUGUGCAAGAAGCCUCUCCUAAGGCCAUCUAAAGGCAAAAAGUGUCUGUUUUGAUCACAGUGCUGAGGUGCUCAGGGCAGUGUGGAGUUUCGUUAUUUGUAUGUUUUGUUAUUCUUGUAUUAUGUAUUGGGUUAUUCCUUUGUACCCCCAUGUACAACUUGGUUUGUCCC